CCGCGUGCAGGAGAAGGCCUUCUGGGUUGUAAACUGCUUUUGCCAGGGGAUAAAAUACCCAUGCGUGGGGAAUUGCAAGUACCUGGUGAAUAAGCCACGGCUAACUACGUGCCAGCAGCCGCGGUAAUACGUAGGUGGCGAGCGUUGUCCGGAUUUAUUGGGUUUAAAGGGUGCGUAGGCGGCCUAUUAAGUCAGUGCUGAAAUACCCCGGCUCAACCGGGGGGGUGGCAUUGAUACUGAUGGGCUUGAGUACAGAUGAGGUAGGCGGAAUUGACGGUGUAGCGGUGAAAUGCAUAGAUAUCGUCAAGAACACCUAUAGCGAAGGCAGCUUACUAAGCUGUAACUGACGCUGAGGCACGAAAGUGUGGGGAUCAAACAGGAUUAGAUACCCUGGUAGUCCACACUGUAAACGUUGAUAACUCGCUGUUUGCGAUACACAGCAUGCGGCCAAGCGCAAGCGAUAAGUUAUCCACCUGGGGAGUACGCCGGCAACGGUG
rnacentral:rRNA from 1 species